rnacentral:rRNA from 1 species
CCUUCGGGGAGCCUACACAGGUGCUGCAUGGCUGUCGUCAGCUCGUGUCGUGAGAUGUUCGGUUAAGUCCGCUAACGAGCGCAACCCUCGCUGUGUGUUAUAAGUGUCACACGGGACUGCCGGUCUUAAGCCGGAGGAAGGUGGGGAUGACGUCAAGUCAGCAUGGCCUUUAUGUCCUGGGCUACACACACGCUACAAUGGGCAGUACAAUGGGUUGCUAAGCCGCGAGGUAGAGCCAAUCCCCAAAGCUGUCCUCAGUUCAGAUCGUAGGCUGCAACUCGCCUGCGUGAAGACGGAGUUGCUAGUAACCGCAGGUCAGCUAUACUGCGGUGAAUACGUUCCCGGGCCUUGUACACACCGCCCGUCACGUCAUGGGAGCUGGCAACACCUGAAGCCGGUAUUCUAACCCGCAAGGGAGGGAGCCGUCGAGGGUGGGGUCGGUGACUGGGACGAAGUCGUAACAAGGUAGGUGUACCGGAAGGUGCGCCU